CUGCGCUUCCGUUCGCUUGACUGGCUGCGCUUGUUUUCAGGGUUUUGGUCUGAAAACGGAUCUUACCUGCGCAGAGCAAAAUCGGUUGUAGAUUAUAUCCACGAAAAUUCCUUCUAUUAAAAUGAAUUUCAAGUCCCACCUACCCUGGAAGCAGAAAGAGAGAGAAGAGAGAGAGUAAAGAGAAAGAGAAAAGAAAGAGAAGUUGAAAAAGAGAAAGAAAACCAAGAAAGAAAGAGAAAAAAACCGAAAAUAAAUGGACAAGAAAGAAAAGCUCAUAAACAGAAGAGACUUGCUUGUCUCAGAUGAAACUUUGGACUGUGGACUUUUGAGUUAAUGCUGAAAUAAGACUUUGGGGGACUGUUGGGGAGGCAUGAUUGGUUUUGAAAUGUGAGGACAUGAGAUUUGGGAGGGACCAGGGGCAAAAUGAUAUGGUUUGGCUGUGUCCCCACCAAAUCUCAUCUUGAAUUGCAGCUCCCAUGAUCCCCACAUGUGGGAGGGACCCGGGGGGAGGUAACUGAAUCAUGGGGGUGGGAUUUUCCCAUGCUGUUCUCAUGAUAGUGAAUAAAUCUCAUGAGAUCUUAUGGUUUUAUAAAGGGCAGUUUCCCUGCACGGGCUCUCUCUUGCCCGCCACCACGUAAGACAUGUGUUUGCUCCUCCUUCACCUUCUGCCAUGAUUGUGAGGUCUCUCUAGCCGUGUGAAACUGUGAGUCCAUUAAACUUCUUUUUCUUUAUAAAUUACCUAGUCUUGUGUAUGUCUGUAUUAGCAGCAUGAGAACAGACUAAUACAACAUCCCAGGCUGCUCACCUAUCCCUGUUCUCCAAUUUGGACCAGCUGGGGAAGUCCAUCCUGCUUUCCCCAGAAAGCCUCAUGUAAAUGUUUAUGUAGUAAACAUUUGCAGACCAUAUCAGUGUAUGGCAUCAUCAUUCUCAAUAUAUAAUACAAACUUUAGGUGGACUUCAAACAAAUUCCAGUACAGCAGUCAAAAGUUCAAAUUAUCGGUCAAGCAUGGUGGCUCACACCUGUAAUCUCAGUACUUUGGGAGGCUGAGGCGGGUGGAUCACGAGGUCAAGAGAUCAAGACCAUCCCGGCCAACAUGGUGAAACCCUGUCUCUAUUAAAAAUACAAAAAUUAGCUGGGCGUGGUGGUGCACGCUUGUAGUCCCAGGUACUCAUGAGGCUGAGGCAGCCGUUUGAACCCGGGAGGCAGAGGUUGCCAUGAGCCAAGAUCGCGCCACUGCACUCCAGCCUGGUGACAGAGACUCUGCCUAAAAAAAAAAAAAAAAAAAAAAAAGUUCAAAUUGCCAAAAAUGUUGUAAGGGGAAGUAUAUGAAGUUUCUAGUUAAUCUACAAAAGCAAAAAAAACUCCCAUUCUAUGUGACCAUUCUUAAAAUUUAUGGGCCAGGCGCAGUGGCUCACACCUGUAAUCCCCGCACUUUGGGAGUCCGAGGCGGGUGGAUCACAAGGUCAGGAGUUUGAGACCAGCCUAGCCAAUAUGGUGAAACCUUGUCUCUACUAAAAAUACAAAAAUUAGCCGGGCGUGGUGGUGCGCGCCUGUAGUCACAGUUAUUUGGGAGGCUGAAGCAGAAGAAUUGCUUCAACCUGGGAGGUGGAGGUUGCAGUGAGCCGAGAUCGUGCCACUGCACUCCAGACUCUGUCUCAAAAAAAAAAAAAAAAAGAAAAUUUAUGAACAUUAAUAUUUUCCACUUACGUCACUGAGCACUACUAGGAAAAAAAAAAAAGACAUGCACUACUAGGAAAAAAAAGACAUUGUGGUACAGUAUUUUCACUCUUAUUAACAUACUUUCUUUCAUUUAAUAGUAUUUGUCGCCAGGCACAGUGGCUCACGCCUGUAAUCCUAGCACUUUGGGAGGCCGAGGCAGGCAGAUUGCCUGAGUUCAGGAGUUCGAGAACAGCCUGGGCAACAUGGUGAAACCCCGUCUCUAA
rnacentral:lncRNA from 1 species